CUGUGGGGUCUGAUGAACCUCUCACCUUCCCUCCCACAUCUGCCGUUUUCCUGUUUCUGUGAAUGCUUUCCCUGGACUCCAGACCUCAGGGUCAUCUAUUGCUUCUCUCUGCAAGGUGCCAAGUCUCUCUAGUUUUUUGUUUGUUUGUUUUGUUAUUGAGAUGGAGUCUCACUCUAUUGCCCAGGCUGGAGUGUAGUGGCACGAUCUCAGCUCACUGCAACCUCCGACUCCCUGGUUCAAGCAAUUCUCCUGCCUCAGCCUCUGAAGUAGCUGGGAUUACAGGUGCCUGCCACCAUGCCUGUCUAUUUUUUUUUACUGAUUUUUAGUAGAGAUAGGGUUUCACCAUGUUAGCCAGUCUGGUCUUGUUCUCCUGACCUCAUGAUCCGCCCGCCUUGGCCUCCCAAAGUGCUGGGAUUACAGGAGUGAGCCACUGUGCCUGGCCAUCUCUCUAGUUUUACUCUGUCAUAUCAUUCAUAUCCAUCCCCUUUCUAGUCCCACUGCUGAAGUCCUAGGUCACAGCCUUCUAACUGGUCCUCCUGCCCUAACUCCUCCCUGACUUGUCCUCCUGCCCUAACUCCUCCCUGACUGAUCCUCCAGCCUUAACUCUUCCCUGACUGGCCUCCAUCCAAGCAGAGCUUGAGGAUUGCUGGUUCCCUGCUCAAACCCACCACUGGUUGCUGGUUCUCUGCUCAAACCCACCACUGGCACUGGCUUCCCAUCAUCUACAGAAUAAAGGCUAAAUGCCUAUGCUUGGCACAGAAAGUCAUCAACAGGCCCCAGGGCACAUUUCUAGUGUUAUCUUCUGCUAAUGCCCUGCACCCACUCCUAUGCUGCAGCUAAAUGGAACAAGCCGUUAUCCCCUUGGGAACACUGGCUUCUCAGUAAAUGAUUAUAGCCCAGAAGCCCUGUCAUCACAGAACCCAGCUAUUGGCUAAUUGGUCAGCUUUAGCUUCAUUUCUCUGAACAAUUUAUUUCAAAACAUAAUCCCAAGGAACAAGGUUAGGAAAAGGGGAGGGGAGACAGGGACAGAGGGAGAGCCCGUGCAAAGAUGUGUUAUCCAUUCAGCCCCUGCUGUGGCUGGCUGGUUGCGCGAUCCUGUAAGAUCUUCUAAGAAGCUUUAUGAGAUGUAGUGAGAACCAUCUGUCCUGGGGUGAGUCUGUCUGUCGCCUCUCAUUCCUCAUGGGUUACGAGUUGCUCCACAGGAUUCUGGAUGUAUACAGAUGUUCCUCAUCUUAGGAAGGGGUUACAUCCCAAUAAACAUGUGGUAAGUCAAAAAUACUGUAAGUCAGAAACACAUUUAAUACCCUGAUAAGCCCAUCAUAAAGUCAAAAACUUUUAAGUCAAAUCACUGUAAGCCGGGACCAUCUGUAUACCCAAGACAUAUACAAGAAUGUUCAUAGCAGCUUUAUUCAAAAUAGUGAAAAACAAAACAAUCCAAAUGCUCAGCAAUUGGAAAAUGGACAAAUAAAUUGUGGUAUAUUUAUACAAUGGAAUAAUAUGCAACAACAAAAAAGGAUGAAGCAUAAUACUACACACAGCAUGAGUGAGUCUCACAGACACAGUGUUAACAGAGAAUCCAGACACAAAAGAGCCUGUAUAUGCAUGAUUCCAUUUAUGUGAAGUUCAAAGACAUGCAGAGCUAAUCUAUGGUGAUAGAGAUAAGAAUGGUGGUUACACUGAAAUGGGAGGAUCGCUCGAACCCAGGAGGCAGAGGCUGCAAUGAACCAUGAUGGCACCACUGCACUCCAGCUUUGGAGACAGAGCGAGACCCUGUCUCUAAAAAAAAAGAAAAAAAGAUUGUUCCAUUCUGUGGUCGCAAAUGGGGGCUUGACUGGAAGGAAACACAAGGGCACCUGAGGUGCUGAGCACGUUCUGUAUCUUGACCUGAGUGUUGGAUACAUCCUGGGGACACAUACAUACAUAAAAAUUCAUCAGGGUAUACACUACUUAAGCUGGACAUAGUUUACAGUAUGUAGGUUACACCAUAAAAAAGAAGUGAAUGAACCAAAGAAUACUGGGCUCCCUGGCAUUUCCUCUUCUGCAACCCAAGGAAAUAAGCUUCGGUGUGGAGAGGGCCUGUCCUCAGGGCCUGGCAAAUGCAGGCGAUUCUUACCAUGUCUCCUUCAGUAAGCCCGCCUGGCAAGUUCUCAUCCACAUAAUCUGUGCAUGCUCAACAUUUGAAAUGAGUGGGGACCCAUUCAGACCCCAAGUGUUUGUGUUAAAGAUCAUUUUAAAGUGAAAACUGGCCAGGCACGAUGGCUUACACCUGUAAUCCAAGCACUUUGGGAGGCUGAGGUGGGUGGAUCACAUGAGGUCAGAAAUUCGAGACCAACCUGGCCAAUAUGGUGAAACCCUGUUGACUCAGGAUGACUCAGAUCAGAGCAGGUGACCGGGGGUGACUCAGGAUGGAGCAGGUGAUAGAGGCUAGGAGGGGGUUGUUUACUGAAACUAGGGGCAAGGAGAUGAAGAAAACGAGGAAGUUAAACUUUAAAAUGAAGAGCUGAACAUACUGAUACAUUGAUUCUUUGGAGAGGAUCUCAGAACUCAUUGUACUUAACAAUUUACAGGCUAAAACCUUUGAAGAGGAAUUUAUUAUAUCCUACAAACCUGGGAGGCAGAGGUUGCAGUGAGCCAAGUUCGGUCCAUUGCACUCCAGCCUGGGCAACAAGAAUGAAACUCUGUCUCAAAAAAACAAAAGUUGGCUAGGGCCAGGUAUGGUGGCUCACACCUGUAAUCCCAGCACUUUGGGAGGCUAAAGCAGGCGGAUCACCUGAGGUCAGAAGUACAGGACCAUCCUGGCUAAUAUGGUGAAACCCCAUUUCUACUAAAAAUACAAAAAAAAAACCACACAAAAAAAUUAGCCAAGCAUGGUGGUGUGCGCCUGUUAUCCCAGCUGCUCAGGAAGCUGAGGCAGCAGAAUCGCCUGAUCCCAGAGGCAGAGGUUGCAGUGAACUGGGAUUGUGCCACUACACUCCAGCCUAGGCGACAGAGCAAGACUCUGUCUCAAAAAUAAAUACAUAAAUAAAGUUUUAGAGCAGGAAUGAAAGGAAGUAAAGUACACUCGGAAGAGCUGUGUUGGCAACUGGAGAGAUCUGAGUGCCUCAUCUGACCCUUGACUUGGGAUUAAUACAUUUUGGCAUGAGAUGUGAGCAGUGACUCAAAGUUACUCAGAAAAAAAUCUCUCCCCCGCUAUUUAGUACUGCAGCUGGCACCUGCCCUUCCCAGACACUGCAGCUGGCACCUGCCCUCCCCACGCCAGUGCUCAGGAUUCUUUCUCCCUGUUUUUCUUUUUUUCCAUAGUUUUCACCUUUCUAUAAUUCACUUAUUUAUUAUGUUUAUUGUUUUGUGAAAGGAAAAUAAAUCUUGGGCCCCCAAAAUCACUAAACUAAAGGGGAAAGUCAAGCUGGGAAUGGCUUAGGGUCAAACUGCCCCCAUUCUAUUCAAAAUCACCCCCUGCUCACUGAGAUAGAUGCAUAUCUGAUUGCCUUCUUUGGAAAGGCCCAUCAGAAACUCAAAAGAAUGCUACCUUUGUCUCUCACCCACCUGUGCCCUGGAAGCUUCUCCUGGCUUCAAGUUGUCCCACCUUUGCUUGGCAUUGCCCUGCCUUUUCCAGACUGAACAAAUGUUCAUCUUACAUAUGUUGAUUGAUGUCUCAUGUCUCCCUAAAACAUAUGAAAUCAAGCUGUGCUCUGACCACCUUGGCACAUGUCGUCAGGACAUCCUGAGGCUGUGUCACGGACGCGCAUCUUCAACCUUGGAAAAAAAAACUUUCUAAAAUUAACUGAGACCUGUCUCAGAUUUGGGGGGUUCACAUGUUGGUAACCAUGGAGGGAUUCUGAGUGGAGAUGCCCCUGACCUUUGACAGAGCUAUUGGUGCUUGGUAGCAGAACGAGCUAACCUUAUGGCUCAAACCAACAGGACAAUUUGCUGAGGUCUGGGAGUACCCGCUCCAGAGAGUCCCUGAUCUCUCACAACUUGGUCAUGAUCUAAAGUUUAUUUGAUGUACAACUCCCCCUCCCCUUCUUUUGGAGUUUUAUUUGCUUCCAAGAUUUCCUGGAUCCGUGAUGAUGGAAGGCUGACAACUCUUUUAUGGAUUUUGAGCUUGCUCCCAGUAGGGAAGACAAGUUCAAGUUUUUUUCCUGCUUCAAGGAUGGUGGAGAGCAGUCUUCAGCCUGAGACCCAUCCCUAGGGUGCAAAAUAUUAAUGCUCUCCUUCAACUCAUUUUCAGCUCAUAGUGAGGGAAACUUGUCUUUUGAGCUAUUGACAGCUUUUAAUAAGUUAUUAGACUCCUAUGAACAAAAUUUGGAGCAUAUUUGUUUCUCUCUGCCUGAUUUCUCCAGAAUUUGGAAACUAUUUGUGAGUAUUCUUAACUUAUCACAAUAU